CUGGAUCACCUCCUUUACCGAAUACGAAACUCCCGACUCGCUGCUCACUUUCAAGGAGCCGAAAUGCUCUUUGCAAAGCAGAGCCGACGGGCCUGUAGCUCAGGUGGCUAGAGCGCACGCCUGAUAAGCGUGAGGUCGGAAGUUCAAGUCUUCCCAGGCCCACCACGUCAGGCGACACGCACCAAGUGGGGGCGUAGCUCAGCUGGGAGAGCACCUGCCUUGCACGCAGGGGGUCAACGGUUCAAUCCCGUUCGCCUCCACCAUUUGGUGGACGACGGAUGGUUCUUUGUCAUGCGCGAAUAUGGUCGCAGUCACGAAAUGAUUCGUGGAUGUCAUCCAGGUUUGCGCCUGGCCUCGGCGGUAAGCCGAAGCUCAUUGAAAAUUGAAUAGGGUUGGAAAGGAAGUUCGAAGAGAAC
rnacentral:tRNA from 1 species